GUUCUUUUGGGAACAUAUAACAGAAUUGAAACAAUACAGAAAAGAUUCGCAUGGUUUCUGUGCAAGAAUGACAUGCACAAAUGGAAAUUAAAAAGUAUACUU